rnacentral:snoRNA from 1 species
CUGCAGCCAAUUAAGCCAGCUAAGCUCCUUUGGGGGCCUGGUGUCCCAAAAGCUACAAACAGCAGCUACAUUGGUAGUGUUCAGGCUGUGCAGGUAUGAGUCAACCUAAAGGAAUUUAGAGAUAGUC